GCAUUGGUGGUGUAGCGGUAACAUUGGGUCUUCCCAUGGUUCUCCAUCUUGGCCUAGCUCCGGGUUCGACUCCCGGCCAAUGCA